rnacentral:rRNA from 1 species
GUUUCGGUGGUCAUAGCUGUUC